ACGAAAGUCUGACGGAGCAACGCCGCGUGUAUGAUGAAGGUCUUCGGAUUGUAAAGUACUGUCAUUGGGGAAGAACGGUCUUUUUGAGAAGAUUGAGAAGACAUGACGGUACCCAAGGAGGAAGCCCCGGCUAACUACGUGCCAGCAGCCGCGGUAAUACGUAGGGGGCGAGCGUUGUCCGGAAUUAUUGGGCGUAAAGGGCGCGUAGGCGGAUGCUUAAGUCCGGUGUGAAAGAUCAGGGCUCAACCCUGAGAGUGCAUCGGAAACUGGGUAUCUUGAGGACAGGAGAGGAAAGUGGAAUUCCACGUGUAGCGGUGAAAUGCGUAGAUAUGUGGAGGAACACCAGUGGCGAAGGCGACUUUCUGGACUGUAACUGACGCUGAGGCGCGAAAGCGUGGGGAGCAAACAGGAUUAGAUACCCUGGUAGUCCACGCCGUAAACGAUGAGUGCUAGGUGUAGAGGGUAUCGACCCCUUCUGUGCCGCAGUUAACACAAUAAGCACUCCGCCUGGGGAGUA
rnacentral:rRNA from 1 species